GACGAACGCUGGCGGCGUGCUUAACACAUGCAAGUCGAACGAUGAAGCUGGAGCUUGCUCCGGUGGAUUAGUGGCGAACGGGUGAGUAACACGUGAGCAAUCUGCCCUUGACUCUGGGAUAACUGCGGGAAACUGUAGCUAAUACCGGAUAUGAGGCUCGAAGGCAUCUUCGGGCUUGGAAAGAAUUGCGGUCAAGGAUGAGCUCGCGGCCUAUCAGAUUGUUGGUGCGGUAAUGGCUCACCAAGGCGACGACGGGUAGCCGGCCUGAGAGGGUGACCGGCCACACUGGGACUGAGACACGGCCCAGACUCCUACGGGAGGCAGCAGUGGGGAAUAUUGCACAAUGGGCGAAAGCCUGAUGCAGCAACGCCGCGUGAGGGAUGAAGGCCUUCGGGUUGUAAACCUCUUUUAGCAGGGAAGAAGCGAAAGUGACGGUACCUGCAGAAAAAGCACCGGCUAACUACGUGCCAGCAGCCGCAGUAACAC
rnacentral:rRNA from 1 species